UACGAAGGGGGCUAGCGUUGUUCGGAAUUACUGGGCGUAAAGCGCGCGUAGGCGGAUAUUUAAGUCAGGGGUGAAAUCCCAGAGCUCAACUCUGGAACUGCCUUUGAUACUGGGUAUCUUGAGUAUGGAAGAGGUGAGUGGAAUUCCGAGUGUAGAGGUGAAAUUCGUAGAUAUUCGGAGGAACACCAGUGGCGAAGGCGGCUCACUGGACCGGUACUGACGCUGAUGCGCGAAAGCGUGGGGAGCAAACGGG
rnacentral:rRNA from 1 species